AUGAAUGAAUGUAGAGUUAGUUGUAGCUGGCCUCCCUGAGGCAUGUGCACGCUUUCUCUUUCAUCCACACACCCCUGUGCACUUGUGAGACGGAGGCAUUUUCCUUUAAUCGGGAUGGUCUCCGUCUACUAUCACAUAAAAUCUAAUUUAAUUAAACUGAAUGUAAUUGAUGUAACGCAUCUAAUAC
rnacentral:misc_RNA from 1 species